UUUGUUGAAAGCCUUGCUAAUCCUCUUAUUGAUAGCUGACCAACGACAUGAUAACCAUAAAGACUGAAAAUCAUGCCAUCAAUAACUUGUAAGUCUUCCUCAGCUCUAUCAAUUUUGCACAAGCUCUAGUUGAUGUUCUUUUCGUGCACAUCCUCUUUUAUCAUAUAUCGAACAAGACAUUGGAUAUCUGUGAAUCUCUAACCAUAUUUGCUUGUAAAAGAAAGAUAUUCUCCUAAUAUCCAUUAGCCUAUAAUUUGUUUUUGGUUCAGAGAAUGAAAUGGGGACUGAAAAAAUUAAUAUGGACUUUUGUUGUAAUUUACAGAAUUGAGAAAAGGAAGAAGAAACAGAAAGAAAUGAAUCUGAUAGAAGAGAGUAGAGCCAAUGUUAUUUCAUUUAACUCACUUUGAAGCAUGACUACAAGUAUUCCAUUUAUAGGCUUGUUAAUUAUCCUGUCAUUAGUGCUAACUACUUAAAUAACUUUGAGACUCAUGAACUAAUUAACUGACCAUUAACAGCAUUAUAAGUUAAUUAGAUACAAUGACAGAAAUGCCCCUCCUUGUUGAUCAGCUCACUUUAACUUUCCUGGCUCUUGUAGUUUGGCCUAAGUUGCGCGCAGUGGCAGAGCCACCUUGUGAUUAGGGGGUUCAUCCGAACCUCAUUCGAUGGAAAAUUAUACUAUUUCUAUAUAGUGAAAAUUCUUUUUUAUGUAUAUAUAAUUGAUGUUGAACCCCCUUCAGCUAGUUCGUGUGCCUAUGUUUUUCGAUUUUGAACCCCCUUGUUGAAAAUUCUGGCUCCGCCUCUGGUUGCGCAGACUCUUCACUUUCAAUGCCACACCCGUGUCGGGCUCUCCAAACAUAUUCUGCUUUUUGAGAAUCCAUUACGCACUCGCUGACAUUUUUGAAGAGUCCGAGCAACAUAGAUUUUGGCUACCUCUAAUAAAAGAACGCCAGACAUGAAAACAAAUGUGUCAACAUUGAAUAUAAGUGUUGCGAAAGAAACUAGAACUAGGAUUUGGUAUCUGUGGAAGGAAGUAAUUUGGAAAUUACAAUAAACAGGAGAAGGAAUGUGCUUAAUUUGAAGUCAAGUUCCCUAUUUUCUUGGCAUUUUUGCUUCCUUUAUCUGGAUACUUUUAUUUGCAUUCCUUUUCCUUUACAGGAUGGUUUCAGAUUUCUUUUGGCCGCCUAGGAUCUAUGUCCAAUUAACAUUUUAAAAAUGAUCAAUCCCUUCCCUGUUAUAACCUCAAACACAAAAUUGUCAGAUCUUAGACCAAACAAGGAAGCAAAAACACCCAAGGGUGUGGCCUAGAAGUGGGUUGAGAACCUGAGGUCUCAGGUUCAAAGCCCAGAGACAAAAAAGCCACUAGGUAAUUCUUCUCAUGUCCUAGCCAUGGUGGACAGAGUUACCUAAUAUUUGUUGCUGGCGGGAGGUGGCAGGCAUCUCGUGAAUAUAGUCGAGGUGUGCGAAAGCUGGCCCGGAUAUGACCGUUAUAAAAAAAAGGAAGUAAAGUAAGAGUAGGACAAAUUUCUGCAAUGAUGAGGAUACAGCUGCUCGCCUUGACAACAAUUUUGUUUAUGAGUUCAUAAAUGUAUACACACUUGCCUCCUGCAACAACUUUCCCUUUGCCUUAAACUGAUUAUGUUGAAUAGAGGCAAACAUAUGUAUUUUAUUAUAUGUAUAUAUUUUAAUUUUUUUCCCAUACGUUUUGUUUUUAGUCAAGGGUAACUUUUGUAUUCACAAAAAGCUCAUUAUCCAAAAAAUGGUGAGAGUGACUUUUACAACCACAUACUAUGUGGUACAUCCUCAUAGGGGACUGCAAAAACAUAGAAGACUUUACAAGUUACCUAUGAAAUCAACUAGAGCUAUCGUAUCCUCCCCCAAAUUAUGUUUGCUAAAAUCUUCUAGAUUUGUUAUCUACAAUCUUCUAGAGUUGUUAUCUACUUAUAAGUUAGUAGAAUAUGCAGAGAACUUUCGGUGCUAGAUAAACUAGCAGUUUUAUAAUAUUGUACUGAGAUUGACUUAGUAGGUAGUUGUGUGUUGUCUCGCUUUAUUCUUUCAUACAUUUAUUUUUUCUUAUACUUCAAUUAUUGUAUUAUUUAAUUGUAGUUACGGUUUCUUAUACAGAAUGCUUCGUCAUUCCUUGUUUAGUAUUUUGCCUUGGUUUCUUCCCUCCUGUUAUUUUCUUGAACUGAGGGUCUAUCAAGAACAACCUCUCUACCUCCCAAGGUAAGGGUAAGAUUUGCAUACACACUACCCUCCCCGGACCCCACUUGUGGAACUAUACUAGGUAUGUUGAUGGUGUUGACUGAGAUUGACUUAAACUGAGGAUAUGUGUAGUUAGUUAGAAUUCACGUAGGCUAUCUCAACUUGCUUGUUAUACUGAGGUAUAAUUAUUGUUGUCGUUGUAACUUGUUGACCUGGUAUUGUUUUAAUGUUCCUGUGAGAUACUAGCACUCUUUAAAGGAUUAGAAUUGGCACAUCAACGGCGACUCGUACCCCUGCAAAUUAACAUUGACGCCUCAGAGGUUAUCCAUAGCCUUUCAACUAUAAACUCUGCUAACAAAUUUAUUUCAUGACUGCACGUCAUUGUUCAGCUGCUUGAAUAAUCCAGCAGUAACAAAUGUAUUCAGGGAGCAGAACCGAGUAGUGGAUAGGCUGGCAAAACAUGGGAGGCUAUGACACUUCACUCUUUCGAUGUCUCUUGGGGCACCUACUUUCGUCACAAAGAUGAUCUGGGAAGAUGCAGAAGACAAGUUUCUUCUUUCAAAUCGAAAGGCACAUGGAUGCACCAGCAUCCCCUCUCUACCCUUCUUUUGUUGUACAUCAUCUGAUGUAGCCCCUCAUGUUAACACUUUUUGUAAUGCCUUUCCUAGUAGUCACUUGUUUUCCAUUCCUUUUGUAAUGACCCUAUCAUGAGCCAGCCAGCUGGGGUUUUAGCACCAGCUAAUGUUGUAACUAUGCCAGCAAUGGCUCCAUGUACCUAUGUUUAGUUUUUAAUAUAAGCUUCCUUUGCACCAAAAAAGUUCUUGUGCGUUGAUAAUCAAAAAAGAUGUCAAAGGUGAGCAUUUCGGUGAUCCUUCUUCUCAUAUUUGUCUUCUGCAG
rnacentral:lncRNA from 1 species